GUAGGUGAACCUGCGGAAGGAUCAUUAAAAGAACUGGCUUCGGCCGGCUGCGAGAGCGAGCCCAUGGGGACGCUUACGGCCAGGAACUUGUCGGCGCCCUCCGGCCCGCCCGAUACUUGGGCGCGUGCUCUAAACUGGAGCGGCGUACAAUCACAUUGACGACAAGCCUCCCUGCGCCGUUUGCGCGACCACUGGCCCCGCCGACGCGUCACCCUCCGUGAAACGUCCCUUUGCUUAGGCAGCGCACCCA
rnacentral:misc_RNA from 1 species